CGGAGGACCGGAUGCGGUCGCUCCCGGUGGUCCUGCUGCCGGGAGAGGAAAGUCCGGACUCCAACGGACGGCAUGCUUGCUAACGGCAAGGCGCGGCAACGCGACGGAAAGUGCAACAGAGAGCAGACCGCCGACCAGAUGGCUCCGGUGCCGACGAGGCCCCCGGGGCCACGGGAAGGCAAGGGUGAAACGGUGCGGUAAGAGCGCACCGCUCGGCCGGCGACGGUUCGAGGCGAUGGCAAACCCCAUGUGGAGCAAGACCAAAUAGGGAGUGCGGAUCGGGCUGUCCGUCCCGAUGCCGGGUUGUUCGCAACCGGGGACGCCCUCCGGGUAGGUCGCAAAGAUGAAUGGCCGCCUCCCAUCGCCUGAAGGUGACGGGACGAACAGAAUCCGGCUUACGAGGUCCUCCGGCAC
rnacentral:RNase_P_RNA from 1 species